CCUACGGGAGGCUGCAGUCGAGAAUCAUUCACAAUGGGGGAAACCCUGAUGGUGCGACGCCGCGUGGGGGAAUGAAGGUCUUCGGAUUGUAAACCCCUGUCAUGUGGGAGCAAAUUAAAAAGAUAGUACCACAAGAGGAAGAGACGGCUAACUCUGUGCCAGCAGCCGCGGUAAUACAGAGGUCUCAAGCGUUGUUCGGAAUCACUGGGCGUAAAGCGUGCGUAGGCUGUUUCGUAAGUCGUGUGUGAAAGGCGCGGGCUCAACCCGCGGACGGCACAUGAUACUGCGAGACUAGAGUAAGGGAGGGGGAACCGGAAUUCUAGGGGUAGCAGUGAAAUGCGUAGAUAUCGAGAGGAACACUCGUGGCGAAGGCGGGUUCCUGGACAUUAACUGACGCUGAGGCACGAAGGCCAGGGGAGCGAAAGGGAUUAGAUACCCCAGUAGUC
rnacentral:rRNA from 1 species